GGCUGAAGCAGGUGUCUGGUGGGGAGGCAGCAGCAGAAGAGCGACAAAAAACCUCCUCAAUUAGCCACUCAACAAGUCUAGUGCAACUUCUGAGGAUGCUCGGAUCGAGAGCCUAAGGACAUUGAGUACAUUUGGAUGACUCACUGAGGUGGGACAGGAUGGAGAGGCUAAUCCCUGUCUGCUCCUAAACAGUACAAAAAGGAAGAUCCAAAACAAGCAAAUCAUCACCAACCUCCAAGGAGUCAAGGAGACGUGCUGGUGGAUGGCUGGUGUCUCUCCUCCUUCGUGUCCUCGCAAGGGAUCCUGGACUGGGCACUUGGAACACACAUCCUGAUGCCUGCUGGUGGCCUGGCUGCUUGGACACGGUAACAGAUGGUCAUUGUGACGUGAACGUUAUUCCAAUAUCCACAGAGGAGGAAAAAGGACCAGCGUGAUCCAAACUUACAGAUUUUCCAUGAUGGAAGACAACACAAGGAGCAUCACUGCAGCUGCAACACAGCACACUCCUGCCUGUUUCCAGGCUAAUGUCACUACACCUCCCAUCAUCUGUGCAGCACAAAAACAGGACCAGAAGCACAAAAACAGGACCAGAGUCCUACGUGGGGAUGGGAUGAGGAAACAGCCUACCCAACCACAAAAACAGCCAUCUCUGCCUGAAGGACAUGGCCUCAGGACGGGAUGCAACCAGGCAAGUAAAAAGCCAACAAUUCAUGAAUAUUUUGCAGAAAGAUCUGAAGACAUUUUUAAGUUCUAAUGGAAAAUAAUAUUUGAUACUUCACAGGUUAGUAAUAAUGCAUUUUAUCUAUGUGACUUUUUCUGCAAGGCAGACAAUGAUAUCACAUUAUUGAUGGUGUUCUUUCUACUCUGUCCAAUGUCCUUAUUUGCACCCUUUCCCAUUUCUUAUCCCAGUCACUCAUGAAUUGCUCACUCAUUCAGUCAUAAUUAAGUGGCCAAGAAUACAGAUCAGUUGGACCUUGAAAAUCAAGGUGUUUGUGUUCAAUAUAUUUUCACCUGUGAAGUGAUAUUGGCUGAAAGUGGAUGCUUCCACAGCGAGUUUCCUCUCUCACACCUCCCCAAAUAAGAGGCCUCUGCCCACCAUAUUUCACCACCUUGUGUGUCUGCACAGGCACUGGGUACUGAACAGAGGCUAUACUUGCAGCAGUGCACAAAACAUUAUAUUCAGCACACUAAAAAAAAAAUUAAAUUAUCACAUCCUGAGAAGUUCCCUAAACAUUCUUAAAAUAGAUUUUCCCAUCAUUUAGGGUCUCAUGCAGAACCCUGGCUGAUGAGGUCUGGGAAUCUGCUGUUAAUUUGCUCAAUGGGAGGUGUUUUUACAACAGCUUUCAGCACUCAUGAGUUUUGUGCUCUUUCUAAAACACUCACUAAACUUCCAACAGCAAACUGCACGAGGAGACGAAUGCCCUCUUGGUGGAUCCCACUGAUCCCCUAAAACCAGCACUAAAUCCAGACUCCCCCGUGGUCUCUGUCUGUCAGUACGGUGCCAAGGCAAGGAUCAAAGACGUUCACGUUCCCAGCUAU